GUCUCCAGCCAUCAUCCUGAAUAUGCCCAAUCCUGUCUGAUCAUAGAAGCUAAGUAGGGUCGGAUCUGGUUGGUCCUUGGAAGAGAGACUACACACCACUGAGAAGCACCCUGGAGUGGGGAUG
rnacentral:rRNA from 1 species